AAUCGAGCUCCCCUCCUCGCUGCCGCCGCCCCACGAAUCUGCACACACACUCCACAUUCUUCGCCAAUUCCCCAAACCCACCGCCGCCGCGCCGCUCUCCUCUAACCCAACCACGCCGGCGGUGGCCCCCCCUCCCCCAAGCACCGGCGACCUCCUCGUCCUCCAGCGCCGAACUCCAACCUUCUCCUUCUCUCCCAAGCGAAGGGAAAGAGGGAAGGCCCCAGAUCGGGCGAGGCCAGAUCCACGGCGGCAUCGGCGCGCCAUCGUCGACCUAGGCUGCGACCACCAUGGUCGCCGUCGUCGUCUCCUCCAUGGAGGUCCGACCCGCCAGGAUCAAGCCGCGGCCUGAGCCUGCCAUGGGGAAUCCGCCCCGAUUGCAGCGUGUAGGCAGGCACUGUAGGAAGAGGAAGAGGGAGGAGGGAGGGGGACGGGGGAGGGCAGCGCCCGUAGCCGCGUGCACGUGGCCGUGGCGCCGGAGUGGCGGAGGAGGGGUAGGGCGGUGCUCGUCGCGGCGGCCUCGACAGGCAACUACGUGGUGCCACCUUCCUCCAACACCGGCCGCCUCGUGCUGCGGCUGCUGGCAGUGGCGCAGCGAGUCUCCCACCUUACCACCACCGCUGCUUGCCGUCCGUCCCUCCUUCCGUCCAUGGCGGCGGCGACCUCCGGCGUCAGCAGGCUCAGCGCGGUGGCAGGCAACAACAACGGCGACGUCGGCCUCCAAGACUCCUGGCCUCUGUUGGAAUAUUUUCGGGCAUUGUCUCAUCAAUUUUACCGAACUCCUGAACACCAUAGAUUUGUGCGGCAACAGGUGGUCAAUCAGCCGUAUGUACAAGAAGCAGAGCGCAUCAGUUCAUGCUCGAGCCCCGAAGAAGGGUUCUGGUGGCGAUGUCGACGGUCGUCGAGAGGUUCGUGGACUGGAUGGUGUCGUGGCUGCUGAUGUACGGAGAGGCGAAGCUGCUGCUCGUCAUCUACCUCUGGCACCCCAGCACACGGGGUGCGGGGCAUGUGUACGAUGGCUUCCUCCAUCUGUUGGUGGCGUUACACGAGGCCGACAUCGACCGGGGCCUGCUUGAGCUGAUGGCUAGGGCGAGGGACGUGACGACGUCACAACUCAAGGCGGUGGCUGCCAUCGGUCAAGUGUGGCUAGUCGAGGCUGCCCGCUGUGUUUCGUUGCAGUUGCAGGCCGCGAGAUCAGGCCGGGAAGGCGCCACGCAUUGACGAGUGAGCCAAUUUUUGGAUCGGACCAUAACAACGUGUCUCAAUCUCUGACCUCUAGAAGUAGUGGUAAAGUUUUGAAUUUGCAUGGCAAGAACCACUUACGUAGGUAGGUGACACACACAACAUUAUGUUUACACUCUUACUUGUGUAAAAGAUAUGAAUUAUAUACGAGUUGCCUCUACAAUGAGGAACUGUGAUAGUAGAUACUGC
rnacentral:rRNA from 1 species